rnacentral:rRNA from 1 species
GAUGAACGCUGGCGGCGUGCCUAAUACAUGCAAGUCGAGCGAACAGACGAGGAGCUUGCUCCUCUUACGUUAGCGGCGGACGGGUGAGUAACACGUGGAUAACCUACCUAUAAGACUGGGAUAACUUCGGGAAACCGGAUCUAAUACCGGAUAAUAUAUUGAACCGCAGGGUUCAAUAGUGAAAGACGGUUUUGCUGUCACUUAUAGAUGGAUCCGCGCCGCAUUAGCUAGUUGGUAAGGUAACGGCUUACCAAGGCAACGAUGCGUAGCCGACCUGAGAGGGUGAUCAGCCACACUGGAACUGAGACACGGUCCAGACUCCUACGGGAGGCAGCAGUAGGGAAUCUUCCGCAAUGGGCGAAAGCCUGACGGAGCAACGCCGCGUGAGUGAAGAAGGUCUUCGGAUCGUAAAACUCUGUUAUUAGGGAAGAACAAAUGUGUAAGUAAAUAUGCACGUCUUGACGGUACCUAAACAGAAAGCCACGGCUAACUACGUG